AUGAAGUUCCUGUUCCAGUUCCCCUGCUGCUCCUGCUUCUGCUACAUCAAGAAGAAGAAGAGCAGCAAAUCGAAGGACUGA
rnacentral:rRNA from 1 species